UACGAAGGGGGCUAGCGUUGCUCGGAAUUACUGGGCGUAAAGGGCGCGUAGGCGAACAGUUUAGUCAGAGGUGAAAGCCCAGGGCUCAACCUUGGAAUUGCCUUUGAUACUGGCUGUCUUGAGUUCGGGAGAGGUGAGUGGAAUGCCGAGUGUAGAGGUGAAAUUCGUAGAUAUUCGGCGGAACACCAGUGGCGAAGGCGACUCACUGGCCCGAUACUGACGCUGAGGCGCGAAAGCGUGGGGAGCAAACAGG
rnacentral:rRNA from 1 species